rnacentral:lncRNA from 1 species
GUUUUUGUAAAAGCGGAGAUUGCACAGGUCAUUUUGGUAUCGGAGGUCUUUGAAGUUCUGUGGAUACUGAUGUCGGUACUUGUAUAAAUCCCUUGCUGCAUAGAAGCUUCUCUUUGGCUUGGCUGUCAGCUCGGUUCCAUCACUGCUCUGCUCGGGGCCGCCGGCGUCCCCCUCCGCCCGCUCUCCUUGCUCCGGCGGCCGCGGGGGCUCCUCGGGCCGGUCGUCAGCGGCGGGCGGCUCUUCCCCGCCUCCCGCGGCGGUGCACACCCCCUCCUGCUGCUGCUGUUGCUGCUGCCGCCGCGGCUCCCCGCCGGGCUCCGGCGCCUCGGGCUCCGAGUCGGUCUCCCAGGUGGAGUCGCAGUCCUCCACCGUGGUGGGCUCCUUGAAGCUGACGCCGCUCAGCAGGCCGCCCAUCGGGCAGCGCCGGGCCGCCGCCGCGCCUCCCGGAGGCCGCGGAGGCCGAGGGCUGGGAGCGGCCGCCGGCUGCCUACGGCUGCGGCAUGGCGGGGCGGGGCCGGGGCCGCCGGGGCCGAUCCCCCGCCCGGCCCCAGCCCACAGCCGGGCGCGGGGCGGAGCUGCGGGUCCGGGGCUUCCGCGGGAGGCGCCCGGGCGGCGGGGAGGGAGCUCGGCUGGGCCGCGGCGCGGUGCUGCGGGGCUGAAGGGGCGUCGGGAGCGCCCCGGGAGCCGGCGCCGUGCUGAAGUUGUCCUCUCUGAGGAGAGCUCGGCGCCCACCGGGACCGAGCCGGGAGGAGCGAGCCGAGCCGAGCCGGGUGCGUGUCGAGAAGAUGGCAGCUCCUUCUGCGGAACCGCUCGUUUUGUGACCAGCGGCGUGCGGACACGGGUUGCACGGCACACGGGAAGGGUUCCUGUGAGGAGGGCUCGGGGCAUGUGCAGCAGGCAGGGCUGAGGACUGCGGCGUGCUUCCCAGCCGGUUUCAGUUCUUCCUGAAGUCCCUCAGGCUUUGGGGAUGAAACUGACAUGGCAAUGCAGUUGGCUGGGUAAGGCAGGGAGUUUUGUACUUGGCUAGAGCACGCGUUUUGGACAGAAGCACUGCCUGGAGUGAAGAGCUGCUGAGAUGGAAGCUUAUCCUAUUGUUGCAGCGCUCAACUCGGGAUUAAAAAUGUGCUCUUUGCUUCUAACCAGAAUUGUCAGGCCUUGGUUGGCAUCCAUUGUAUGGAGCACUGGUUAGCGCUGACCAGCUCAGCUUGCCUUCCUGUUACAGCUUUUAUCUACACUUCCCACACUGACUGUGUUUAUAUUAGGGACAGCAGAAGCUCACAAGUGCACCUUGCAUGUGAAUCCAGAGACAGGUGAAGAUUUUGUUAAUCUUUAACUUGUAAGGCGAUUGAUUACACACAGAGAUCUUCCUGUAAGAAAGCUCUCUCUUGUACAAAUAAUUGCGCCUUAUUAUAGAAAGCUCAGUUAUACCCAAAGAGCAAAACUGUCAGCUUUGAUUUGUCAGCUCAUCAUAGAGUUAUAGGAGGAUUUUUUAAUGAUCUGGAACUCAGGCCAUUGAUACAAACUGGGAGUCAAAUUAAUUGACUUGGUGUCAUCGCUGGACAGUGCCAAGAGCAGAGGAUUGCUUUGACUUGCUUUUGGUAAUCCAAGUAAUUGAAUUGAUGUGAUGGAGUUUCGUGAACUUCCUGGGAAGUAUUUUUGGAGUUUCUUAAGAGUUGAUAGCUGAGGAGACCAUAUUGCUUGCAAUCCAUGCAAGGGAUGACAGAAGUGAGGCUGGCUGAAGUCUGGGUCACCAGGGUAGUGGAUGUUUUGUUAGCCAACCAGAUGUGUUGUAAGGCAUUAGUCAUUGCCAUGAAGGAGUUUAAUCAGGAAACGGGCUAACAGAACUCUCAAAUUAGAAACUGAAUUGAGUGAUUGUUGGUAUGGCACUCCAAAAAAAAAAAAAAAAAAAAAAAAAAACCCAACCCCUUCAAAUACUCAUCUAAAUUAUUUAUGUUUUAGCUGUAGUCAACUCUCAUUUUCAUCCUUUAGCUUACCACUGGACAAUGGCUAGUUUCUGAGUGAGUCUGCUGAGGAAAAAGAGGGUUGAACAGGUCUUAUGUAGAUUAACAUCCAGCAAGAACCACUAGUUGGGAAGAGGUGGGCCACCUGGUUUAGGACCUGGCUGCACUGUCAUACAUCUGAAUGAGAAAAAAUGGUCUCCUUCCCUGAAUGAGUCAUUUCCUAUUUUUGUCAACAGUUACUUGCAACUGUGCCUCAGCUGCCCAGAGGGAUGUGGGUUGGAGUCUUUGAGAUGACAAUGAGCUUUGGAUGUGGUGGGGCGGAUCUGUACUUUGCCAGGCUUGUACGUUUUUCCCAUGAACAAUUUCUUCUUUCACAGAUGCAGUUUAUUGCUGGUUCCAAUUCUGAAUGAGAGGUAGCCAGAAUUCAUGAAGAGUUCUUAGCACCUUACUUGGCUUCAUAGGGUGGUAUGUGAGAGUUUAAACAGAUCUCUGCAAAACAAUCCUUAAUAAUAAAAAAUAAUAAUUUCAGUCAUAUCACAGUCAUAAUUGGUGGUCACAUUAAGAAAGUGGUGAACUUCUGGCACUUCACUUCACCCAAUUAUUACAGUACAAGAGAAGAUUACUAAGUGCUAAAGCCAGAAAGCCCUAUUUCAAUCAAAUACUCUGUCUUCUACACAACACAGGUCAGAGAAGUUCUUAUCCCAGCUAUCUUCAAAGAAAGACAGAAGAUCUUAAGAACUGCAGGCUGCUAUUACAUCAGUUACUGACUUUUUAAACAUCACAUGAGAGUACAGCCAGUUUCUCGAGAGGAAUUAAUCCACCUGUAGGCUGCAACAAGGUCUAAAUAAGCUGCUUGGCACCAACCUCUAAUUUAUAGUUAGGGUCCUCCACAACCCCCCAUGAUGGACUGAAGCCAGCUGCCUGAGCCAGCACUCAUCUUUCCUACAGCAGGGCUCCUGAAUUGCAGUAGGAAAGCCAUUAUAUUUGGCUGUAGAUCCUAGAGAGGAACUCUUUGAGAGAAACACCAGAAGAGUGGUUUACAUGGCCAGACGUGGGCAUCCAAGUGCCCUUGGAGAUUGCCUGCUGUAUCCAAGUGCUGCUGCAGAAAGAGCUCCAGAGCUCCACAGGUUAUGUGGUGUACUUGUCAGCUCCAUGCAGAUGUCUUGGCUGCUCUAGAACAUCUCAAAGGAUGUGAUAGGCAUACCUGAAGUGAACUAUGCCUGUAUGUGCCUGGCUGGUUGGCUGAAUCACUUCAAGCUGUGUUGACUAGAGCUUCAUUGAUUCUAGUAAGUAGGCUAUCAAGAAAGUCGCCUUCUCUGUGGUCAUUAAAUGAAUAGACAGUCUUGUGCUCCAUGAAUAAUAGAUAAUUAUGGAACAGUAGAAGGAGGCGAUGGUGUCAUACAUUGCUGACACAUCACUACAUUGUGUGUUAUUUCAUCACCUACAGCCUGUUCCCCACCCGUCACAAGGAGGCAAUAAUAAAUCCCACUCUUCUUGAGUUAAAGGGCUUGACUCUUAGUCCACUUAAAGCAAGGGCAUCCAAGUGCAGCCCAGCAGCAGCAACGUGCAGCUGUGGCAAAUUUGGCCCACCGCUGCCAGCUGAAAAUGAAGCAGACACAACCGGUGGCACUUUUGUUAGUCUAGACUAGGAUCUCACUGUGGCCCUGUAAAGGAUAUUGUCAGCAAACCUUUUGUCUGUUUUCAAGACAGCCAACCCUGAUCUUUCUUAACUGAGUUUUUGCACGUGACUGAGUGAAUUUAUGUAGUCAGGAUGGUGCAGCGCAGCUAUUUCAAAGAUCUAAUUUACGUCAUGCUUGACAUGACUCAUGGAACUCAUUGGAUUCCUACAAAGUAAAAAAUGUCAAUGUUAAAUGAUAGACAUUUGUGCAGUUCUGUACUUUGCUCUCAGGAGGACAAUUGUGGAUCUCAUGUGGUUCACCAUGGACAAUUUGGAGGUGGCUGCCACCAUUACCUCUGUCAAACUCCGCAGCAGUCAGUCCCACUUGGAGGUGGCACAAGGUCAUUCAGUGUGGGUGGGAUGACUACCUGCAGGCAGGGACUGCCACCACCUGCUGUCUAUCCUAGCCUGUAUCGUGCUUUGUAUAUCACCUGUACGAAACCCGUAUAAAUAAAAAAGCUGGUGAAAUUAAUCAGAGAUGCAGUUUUUAUUUAGGUCGCUGAUCCUUCACAAGGCUUUUAGCUUGUGAUUAAGGCAGAUAUACAGAGAGUGAGAUAUAAAAGCAAACAAGCGAACCCAGAAACCAUCAACAGUACUGUCUUUCAUUUUCUUAUCACGGGUCCAGUGAUUUUUACAGCUGUGUGGGCUGAUUCACAUAGUUAAACUAUUGUGCAU